GGUCUAUCUGAUCUUGCAACACUGUCUCAUACACAAAAGUGGGAGUCUAUGGAAUGCUGAAGGUUUUAUCUCUGCCUGAGCUGCGGUUAUUAAUGAUAAUAACAAGAUCUACUCUCAGGAAGGCUGGAGAUGGGACCUAUGAGUGAAAGCAGAGGAGGGCCCUUUCUGUUGUUGUACGGGUGCUGCUCAUGUGUGAGUGGAACGGAGCAGUACGGCUUGCUCGGCUGUUGGCUGCCUGUUUGGGGAUUGUGAAACUGCUGAAGUAGGCAGUAGCCUCAGACCCAGGGAGAGCGGAAAAGACAGAUCUGUCUCUCCUGUCUGCAAGCUUUUUGCCUCUCGCCUAACCCUCCUACAUGCAUUAAACAGGCCGGUCUCUGGUUGGACCAUGAACCAGGUGUGACUUAUGCAUUUUACAUUGCUGGAACAGAUACUCCCUAAUUGCUGUGCUACAUUUUCUGUUUGACAUUCCAUAAAGAAAAGAGGUCUUGAAAUGGAAAUGGGGACACAAAAAUUAUUUUGAGUAAAACAGAAGCGAUAGUGAAGGCAGCCAAUUUUAUGGAUGGAUGAAUGAUGGAUGGAUGGAUGGAUGGAUGGAUGGAUGGACUGGGUAAUCUGCUCCACUGACUCACCAUGGUUUGCCCUCAUCCUCUAUAAACACAGGAAGUCCCCUUCAAUCUCAUUGUUUUUUCUGUCCUAACACCAUAACUAUUUACAAGUUCAGUGGAUUAGUCAUACUGUAGCCCCAGUUCUUUUGUUGAACCAAAGCAGAAACCUAAUCCGUGCCAAUGGUGAGAUGAUUAACAGAGUGUUUAUCAAUCCAACGUGCAUUUGUUUUGGUGGUACAGUUUUUGACAGGCCAAAUGUAAACUGUGAGUAGAGAGUGGAUAAACGUCCCUAAAUGAGACACCUAUAUUGUUUUAGAAUAUGUACUGCAAAGACAUUCAAAUUUCCAUUUGUUAUGCGUUGUUUCAAAAGGACGAGUUUACAGACAGCUUGACUUGUUCGAAAAAAAUCUUUAAUUAACAUACCAAGAUUGAAGUUUGGGGUAAAUUAAUCUUGUUGGAACAGACUUGUUUCUCAUAGAAAUGUAUGUAUGAUUAUUGCUGAACUUGCACCAUUAUCAAGCACAGUCUGGCAUAAAGUCCAUUUACUCAUGUGACUAUGUCUUAGCAAUCAUCUGCAUGAAUUCUCUCCUCAUAUUAAUUAAAUUUGCGUGAAAGAAUAAGGGCAGAGAAGUUCACGUAUCCUGGUGUCUUGUUAAUGAGCGAUGACAGGAUAGAGUGUAACCUGAUUUGCUUUGUCAGAAACUCCCAAAGACUCAGGUGGAGGCCUCAACGAUCUCCUGGAUCAAAGAGUACCUGACAAACAGACCACAGAUUGUGAGACUGAAGGAUUGCGAGCCUAACCAGGUAGUCAGCACCACAGGAGCACCACAGGGGACUGUACUCUCACCAUUCCUUUUCACUCUGUACACCUCAGACUUCCAGUACUAGACUAGAACGAGCAGGAGAGUGUAGCUGGGAAGAGACGUUUCUGGGUCUUCCUUAUGGACUUGUUAUCUCCACGAUCCAUUCUCGGAUUUACAGAAGAAAAUUUAUUUCUGGGGCAGAUUUAUGUGUCAUCAGGAUAGGAUAUGUUUUUGCCAAUGUUAAGCCUGUUGAUGAUAAAGAGGAAAGGGCCCAAAAACAGAGUCUUAAGGCACCCCUAGCUUGACUGCGGCUGUAUUCAGGUAUUAUUGAGAGUGAAACUGCUUCCCGUUGGAUAAGUAAUACUUAAAGGAGGAUACCAACAUGAUGAGGUAGGGGAUAACAAGGAUGGAAAGAGAUGGUGUCAGAAAAAAAACUGAUUGGUCAAAAAGAGUGAGUAAGAAGAAGAAUAGUGACUACAAUAAUGUGUUUUACUCAAGACUAGAUAGGGUUUGAAAAAUUUCUUCUAACUCACACAGAACAAGUUAUAUACACGCUUAAUGCUGCAGUCCUCUCAGAAAUGAUAAAUAAUGGUUUCAAGGAUGUGGUCUAAUUGUCUUUUUUUUUAGCACAAAAGUUAUUUUUCUGGGAGCCCAUGAAAACACCCAGUAAACUAAACCAGCCGCUUGUAGAUAUCAAUGACACACAGCACUCGUCUGAGCUAAGAACAAAGAGAACAGCUUUAUAGAACAAGAAACCACUUAUAGCACAAUGGCAGAAAAAGCUAGAGAAAGGAAAACACAGGGAAGUAAUAAGUGAAAACCCAUCAUGUUGUGUGUUACUGACAGACACUGUGGUUUUAUGUUGGUACGUCCUUUGUAGCAGUCAUUCUGUCGUUGGGGGAGCUUUUGGCGGGAGACAGACUGGGAUUAAAGGCCUUGGGCUGUCCAACAAGUGGAAUGCCUGCUGCAUGGCUGCCAGGAUGUUACGAUGGGGGUUGUAGUACAGUCUUUGACCUCAGAGAUCUCAGGGCAGGGAUUGCCAAAAGGAGAUGGAUACUGCAGGACCUGUCUUGUGCGGGUCUCCUGGCCUCGUCUGAAGCCACAGGUUCUGCCCGAUCUGGAGCAGGGGCUCCACUCGCUCCACUCACCCACCUCACAGUGCACUGACCGGGGAAACAUGGAGAGGGGACAAUAAAUGUUCUCUGAAAGGAUAAACUGACUGGGUUAGGAUCAAAGUCCAAUGAUCAUUGAGUGACCUCAAGCUGGAAAACAAGUUAGACUGAAUUAUCUCCCAUUCCGGCACUACGUUUACUGGCGGUGAGGAGUGUGACAGCGCAUGCGCAAUGCGAAUCGACUAACUCUGUGCUCCACUAACCAGCCUGAGAUCACAUGACGCCAAGUCGCUGACGUAAAUUUAUAUUCUCAUAGAAAGAAAUCGUUUUUACAAACUGUUAUACCAUAUUGUAUUCAUAAAGAAUAAACAACAACUGUAAACUUGAA